GCUCCCUUCGUCUAGUGGCCUAGGACGUCGCCCUCUCACGGCGAAAACACGAGUUCGAGUGUCGUAGAGAGCACCA
rnacentral:tRNA from 1 species